rnacentral:lncRNA from 1 species
AAGCAAUCUUUCUGCCUUGGCCUCCCAAAGCACUGGGGUUACAGGCAUGAGCCACCAUGCCUGGCCCCAUGUCCUGUUUCUAAACUAAUAAUUAGCAAGGUAAGGCAAAAACGGUCCUUUUACCUGUAUUUGAGCUCACAUCUACGGAGGCUUCAACAGAACAAUUCCAUGUCCUAUUUUUGGAAGAAAGCUCCAAUUUCUAGCCCUAGUUUUCAGUGUUGUGGAGUAGUUUUAUUUCCUGUCUUUCGUAUUUUUUUUUUAAAAAAAGCUUCUCCAACAUUUUAGUUGCAAUCUGAGACAGUCUGUUUCAGAGACAAAAUUUUACAGCCAGAUGCUCCAGUGUGAGCCGCUGCAGUUUGUUUCUAAGGAUGAUCAGUAACGAAUGGGGAAUGCUUGUCAUUUGCUCAAAUAUUGUGAAGUCUUGUCUUUUCUUGGGCACAUGCACACUUUUAUAGGCAAGGUUUCAUCCAUCCGUAAUGCCUGCUGGGACAACUGGGAGAACAGGUCAGUCAUUUGCAGAAACAGACCUAAAACCCUAAGGCCUAGGAGCCAUCACAGCCCCCACCCCAUCUGGACAUUAACAAGACACACAGGGUGGGGAAAGAAGGCAAAUGGGAGUGCAGUGGAGUCAGGAGAUAGGCAACUCUGGGCCUCCACUUCCGUGGGGGAUUUUAAUAAUCUCCCUGGAGUCACAGUGGGUUGUUAUAAGGAGGCAGAGGGAAGGUAGGAUGGUUCUGAUACAGAAAAUAGCUCCUCAGUGGGACAGGGGAGAUGACAGCAGAGAAGCUUUCAACCACCUUUUUUUUUGUGAUGCCACAAGUCUCUGCAGCUCACCUGUAUAGCGCUAUUGCUCUAUUCCACGUGACAAAACAUGAGUCACCUGCUCAAUUAGUUUCAUUCAGUCCAUUAUCCCUAUAGCUAGGGAGAGCUCUCUCCCAUAAACUGGCAAAUCAUUGUUCAAUAUAUUUAAUCUUAAUAUGGUUGAUCCUUCCUUUUCUUUCUUUUUACCUCUCUUCCUCUCUCCAUCCUUCUUAUUCAUCCAUCCACCUAUCUAUCCAUCCAUUUACCUGAAGGUAUGUUGACCAUCUACUUUGUGUCAGGUACUAUUCCAAGCACUUAAUAUACAAUAUCUGAUUAAAUUUUAACAAUACCCUGGAAGUUAGCUCUUAAUAUUCUUUAUGAAUAUUAUAUGAGGUUUAGAGAGUUUAUGUGUCUUGUCCAAGAUUCAGCAAAAUUCAGCCCAUGGGCUAAAUUCAACCUAUUUUUGUAAAUAAAGUUUAGUUGGAACAUAUCCAUGCCCAUUUGUUUACGUAUGACACAAUUUCAGCAGAGUGGAGUAGUUACAACAGAGACCAUUUGGUCCACAAAUGCUAACAUAUUUACUAACUGGCCCUUAACUGAAAAAGUUUGCCAACCCCUGUUCUUGCCCAGUAAUACUUAGCAAGAAAGUAGCAGAGUCAAAGAUUCAAACCCAGAUCUAUUUAACUCAAAAGGCCAUAAUUCUUCAAUGCUGUGUCAUGCAACAGAAGUAUGUGAGUUUUGUCUACAUGACUUCUUGACACCUAGGGUGAGAUGGCCAGGCUAGAUUUAUGGUAAGAGGAACAGAUCUGACAUAUAUUACUUAGUAAGUAGCCAAUUACUGUGGAAGACUCUCUUCAUUUGUAAGAAAAGCCAGUGAGGAUGCUUUUUUUUUUUUUCCUGGUGAAGUAAUUAUAGAGACGAGUGUUGAUGCAUGUUUUGACUUUGCUGCAAAAGUAGUUCUGUCUUCUCCAGUUUAAGUAAUUACAUUAGUUUCUAAAUAGAGCAGAUGGAACUAUAGUUGUCAAAGAAUGCAAAGAUCAGUCAACUGCAUUUAUGGUGUGACAUUCUAAGCAGAGAUACCGCAAAGUAUCUUGUGCAAAACCAACUAGGUGAGUGCUAUUGAGCACCUGUGAGCCAGAAGAAAACAGGAGAAAAAUGUGGCUAAAUGGAAAUGGAAAUUUCUACACAAUGGGAUCUGGUGGCAAACACAUUUUCCUACCAUAAUGCCCCAACAAUUGCUUGUUUUCUAAUGUUGCCUGGUUGGGGGAAGAUAUAUUCUGAGUGUUCCUCCAAACUUGUAGAACUCAAUUUUUCUGGGGGAGAGGGUUGUCCUAAGAUGGUCUGCUUGGUACUCAGAGUGCAAAGAUGUCUCCUGCAAGAAGCAAGCAGCUUAUGAAGGAAGCAAUGACUUAAAGCAGACACGUUACCUCUAAAGAACAGGGAGAAGAUCAAAUCCAGAACCAGGCAGUAGUAAUAAGGGAACUGACCUGGCAAUAGGCCAAGGAUCCAAACGACAUGGGAACCAGGCAUGAUUCAAAACAGCCACUGCUGAACACCUACACCAAUGGGGGGAAAAAUGAUACUCUUAGCGUUAGAGUCCACAACUGCUACAGAGUCUCAGCUGUGAUUUCUACUGCCGGGUGUCCCCAUAGAAGUCUGCAUCCCAACCCCUGAGACCUGUGAAUAUGUUACCUUACUUAGCAAAAGGGACUUUGCAGAUAUAAUUAAGCUAAAGAUCUUGAGAUGGGGAGAUUAUUCUUCAUUUUUUGGGUGGGCUCAGUGUAAUCACAAGUGUCCUUGUAAAUGAAAGUGGGAGGUAAGAGGGUCAGAGUCAGAGAGAGAUGUCAAGAUGCUACACUGCUACCUUUGAAGAUAGAGGAAGGGGCCAUGAGCCAAGCAGUGCAGACAGCUUCUAGGAGCUAGAAAAAGUCAGCCGACAGAUUCUGUCCCAGAACCUCUAGAACCAACACAUCCAGGCAACACCUUGAUUUUAGCCCAGUGAAACCCAUUUCAGACAUCUGACUCCCAGAAGGCCAGAAGAUAAUAAAUUUGUGUGGUUUCAAGCCACUAUGUCUAUGGUAAUUUGUUAUAGCAGCAAUGAUAAACUAAUACAACAGCCCUGACUUGGGGGGAGGGUAAAGGAAAGAGCCACACACCACCACCCUCUCACCAUGGGAGGAAUAGUUGAAAUGAACACAUGACUUCAGGUCCCCAACAAAGAGCUGAAUGGGUUUCAGGCUAGCUUGCUAAUUCAUUCACCAAUUCUCAGCUCUGGUGUUGCUUGAUUCAGAAGGUAAAGACAAUUUUUAAAUUUCCUUAAUUUCAAAACUUAAUUCAUCCAAUGCAUUUAAUUUAAAAUCAUACAUUAUUUAUCCACAAAUCCUGAUACACAGGGAAAGAAACAGAAAUAUUUGCUGGACAGGUGGCAUGGAAACAAAGGGUUAUUAGCGAUUGCCAUGCAGGCCUAAGUGAAUUCACAAUGACCAUCAUGACAUCAUGUCUGUUGUUACUAUCAAGAGCGUUGCUCUUGGAUAAGUAUCAAUAACCUCAGAACUAUGGAAAGAACCAUGUGUGGAGUUUGGCACCACAGAUAUUCUCUGAGUGAUUGAAGUCUCUUCUACCAUGAGGCCUUGAAAGCUCCAUGAUAGAGAUGACAGAGCUAUAAGAUGAAAGCAGCCCAAAUCCCUGAGUCACCAAUGUUUGAAGAAGAGCUUCCCAGGAGAGGUACCAGACCCACAUGAGACUUCACAUGAUUAUAAAAUGAACUUCUAUUGUGUUGAAUCUCUGAACUUCAGGGUUGUUUUGCAGCACAGACUACAUUAUAGUGACAAGUAGAGGAAGGUACAGUAAAAGCCUUGCCAUCACUCCCAUUAUACAGAGGAAGAAACUGAGACCUAGAGAAGUUCAGAACCUUGCUACAUCAAUCAGAAGUACAAGCCAAGGCUCAUGAAGUGGUUUCCUUAUUUUCUCACCCCAAGGAUCACCUCCGAAGGAAAUGACUUACACCCAAAUCAGGAUCUGUUUUUGAGGGAACCCAACAUAACACAUGGAGAGAUGGGUUUCCUAUGAAGAAGGAAAUAUGGGCUGUAAAAUACCACGGAGAGUCAGAGUAAGUACAGGCGGCUACAACAAAGAUAGAUCAGGUCACGGAGGUCUCUGGGAAUAGAGGAAAGCCACCCAGAGGAAAAAAGGACAUGACUGCCACUAGCACCAUAUGUAUGUUUCAGAUGGGAUGUGUAUUUAUGUGUGUGUGUGUGUGUGUGUGUGUGUGUGUGUGUGUGUAGGGAGGGGUGACAGAGAGAGAGAGGCAGAAUAAAUAUCUUGGUCAUUGGUUACAAGCCAACAAAACUGAAGUGAUGAAACUCAGUGAGUUUUAUAGAAAUGUGCUGGAGAUGCUUCAAUUACUUUCUCAAUAGGUCUAUUUUGAUAACUGAAUGAAAAGAAUCCAUGUGAAGCACCUACCACUCUUCCUGGCUUGUAGUGAACACACAAAAAGAAUUGUUGAUUAUUGUAGUAGACACUGUAGUGUACCUCCUAGAUUCUCCUUACCCAGCCACUAUACCCAUCCCCAUUGCUGUGAGGUCAGGUGCCCAGGAAUCACAGCAUCCCACCCACCCUUCCCUUGCUCCAGGCAAUGCCCUCAACUGGUAGGUGUCACUUUGCCCAGAAACUACCAUUCUUCUCCAGGGGACCCACGGCCAAGGGCAAACUGGCAUAGGCUAUGCAAGGCUGGCCCCUGGCAGAAUGUAUGUGGAAGGGGCAACUCUUCAGUGUGCUUUAUGGACCAUGGACCAAAUCCAGCUCUCCAUUUGCUUUUGUAAAUUGUUAUUGGAACACAGCCACCCCAUUCCUUUUUGAAUUGUCCAUGGCUGCUUUCCUGCUACAACAGAAGUUGAGUUAUUGCAACAGAGGUCGUCUGGGCCACAAGAUCUAAAGUAUUUACUCUGGCCCUUGAUGGAAGAAACUUGUCCACCGAGCCCUAGAGCUGCACUUCCAAUAUGGUAGCCAUUGGCCAUAUGUGGAUAUUUCAAUUUAAAUUCAUUAAAAUUAAAUAAAAUUAAUAUUUCAGUUCUUCAACUCCAAAAAUUACAUUUUGAGUACUCAGUAGCCAUGAGUCGCUGGUGACUCUCCUAUCAGCCCAGAUACAGAACACUGCCAUCUUCACAGGAAGUUCUGUUGGAUGGUGCUGCACUAUAGGCUUCAGCUUCUGGGUAAAACU